GCAGGCUGGAGAAGUUGUUUGAAAAACAAGUGACGUAGCUCCAGCCCGUCCUUAAUGGGUUAAAAAAAAUAACAGCGCGACGAUACAUAAUGAAGGAAGCCAAUCCCAGGACUGCCAAAUUGCAGUCCCGCCCUUUUCUCUCAUCCUCUUCUUCUCUUUGUUCCUAAAUGCUGGUGCAUUUCUCGCCGACCAAUCACAAAGGGAGUCGCGGGGUUCGGCAAAUCACAGCGAAGCGUUGCAUCACCACAGAGAAAAAGCCUUACGCUGCAGACAGUUAUUUUUUUCUCUCUGACAAAGCUGCAUAUUGUGAACAACUGACCAGAGCAGUGCAGACGCAAAAAGGUACCCAAGGAAAGUCACCAGCAUAGUCCACCCUACACACCCGACAGUAAAACUGAACUCAGGACUGGAGUUAGAGGCAGCAAAGCAGGCCUUGGAAGUCUGAUUUUGAAUGACAGUCCAAUGCAGCCUUUGGGAGGCUCCUUUUGUAAAGAAGAUGUAUUACAGCUCACUCUUUUAAAUCACCAGAAAUAUUCUCUCUCUACAUGCAGGAUUUGUGCCAAAGUCAGUUAUUUUGUUACAUUUUGUUUGUGCAGGAGUCAGUAAGUAAGCUCUAACACAUCUGUAAGAAAAGGUAGUUCCCCUAAAUAAGACCUGCCUGUGAAUGAAAAUCUCACACCCAACUCCUUCAUGUAAACAGAAACGAAGAGAAACAGAUGCAGAUAUUGAGGAUGUGAAGUUAAACUUGAUUAUUUCAUAAACGGUACAGAAUUUUUUUUGAUUAUGUAGGGACCUAUAGGGUUAAUAGGCCCGAUAGAAUUAAUUCCCUACUUAUCAGUAAUCCUUUACUAUCGGACACUAAGACCUGUAGCAUUCCUUAAGUAAUACUUUCAGUUACUGGCCAAGAGAGUAGUGACACUUUCCUGCCACACGACUAUUUAGUGUGUGUAGGGAGUGGCCUCUUCCUCUUUGGCUCCUGGUGUCCUGAAAGCUGGGUGUUCCCAUUGAGCCUGGGAUCACCAAGGCCCAGUAAAGCCAUUUAUCCCAAAGUUACCUGACACCUUUGGUGCUUGAGUAGCGGACCAGGCAACCCCGUGAGAGAGGAAUAGCUAGUCUAGGGAAGCUGUGGUAAUAGACUCUCUAGGAGUGUAAGGCAGAUAGUACUUAGCAGCAUGAGCAGUUGUUGCUCCAUCAAGGAUUGCUAGUUGGAAGUAGCUUCCUACAAGGCUUCCCUUGUUGUUGCCUUUAGUGCAGAGAACUCAGUAAUAGGGACCUAGGUUAGCAGAGGACUGCCUGAUCUCUACAGUAAUUGAUCCCUAUCCCCACAGAGGUAGCAUCGGUCUUGUAUGAAUUGAUGUACUCCAUGCCUGUUGAGACUUAUGGGAGUGACAACCUUCCUGCUGUAUCGUGUGAUCUGUCUGACUCCAUAUCAUCUGCUAUCUCCUAAACUCCUGCGAUAUGACGUCAGUGACAUUUUUGAGGAUACAGCUUCAUUAAUUCGCAAGUCAGAACCUGGCAAAAUAGACUCUGGAAAUAAUGGCAAUGAAUAGAAACUUUCAUAACUUUCACAAAUAAACGUAUUUUCACAUGUU